rnacentral:lncRNA from 1 species
UGCAGGAUCUGGUGCAUAGUAGGUAUGCAAUACAUAGUAGGUAAACCAAAAAUGAAUGGAGGAUGCCAAAACUGGCCUCCAGUCCCUGGAUCCAAGAGGGAAGAUGGCUGAAACUGGCUCAAGAAUCUUUCAUCAGAGGUCACCACCAGCGCACCAUGAAGUCUGAUCCACUGACACCAACAUCCCCUUGAAAUCAGGCUCCCUUCCUCCGUUCUUUCAUUGCUAUCAUUCAGAGUUACCACUUUCUUUUAAUCACCAUGAAGAGGGAUCCCACGUCCUUUACCAGGCCAUGAACAAAAGGAAGCAGGCUGGUUUUGGCCUGCAGGGUAUAGUUCCUUGACCUCGGCUUCAUCCAAACACUCUAAUUUCAUCUCGUAUUUGUAUCCUUGGAGUGCCCAAUGCCAGCAAUACAGCCUACCCCUGGAAGAUGCCCAGUAUUGACCAUUUGAAUUUGAUAAAAGAGAUCCAGAACUCAAAGAUCCUUGAUGCUUUUUAUCAAUUCCACUAAACGUCAAGGACAGGAAAUAAAAACAUUUUUCUCUUCCGACUCAAACACAAUACCCCUUUGUGAAGCUGCUAAAAAUCUAGAAAUGGCAAAUCUGGGAAAAUUUUCAGGUGAGCGAUAGGCAUCAAAAUAUUUCAUUUUUGCUAAAAAUAUCUCUUAAGUUUUUCUUAGCAUUCCAACUCACAUCACACUGAAUUUGAGUACAAAGAACAGAAUCUGUUUUACCCUUGUAUUGGCAGUGACUUUGAGGUUAUACAAAGGAGUCAAAGUAGCCUGUCCUAUGACACUGAAGU